rnacentral:lncRNA from 1 species
CUUACUCUACUCACGCACACCAGAGACAAAGUCUCAUUCUCUCACACAGCCCAAGAUUGGGGUUCACACGCCACCACACUACCCGUCCGGCCGCACUCCCAUUCGGUCAGCCAUGGUGACGCCGGCGUCACCUCUACCAUCCAGCCAGCCACCGCAGGCCACGGCGACCUCGCCCUUUUCCUCUCUGCGCGAACGCGAUUCCAACUCUGAUAUCUCACUGCUCCCGCCACUUCCACCGGAACUGGCAGCCACGAGUCGCAGCCCCAUGCGUCGCAAGCACCUACGCUCGCCGCCAGAGCCAUCGCCGGCCACGGCGUCAGGCUCUCUCCCUCUCUCCUCUUCAUUUCGCGCACUGUCCAGAGUCGCCGCCGGUACCUGCGAUUGACACCAGCAACCACAUCGGCUUCGCUACUAAUAUCCUGGGAUUUCCCUUUGGAAACUUGCGGUUCCGAUCCCGACCAACUAGGGGUGGUGGUGGAGUAGUCGUAGAAGACAUGGGAUUGGGAACUGCUUCAGGCUUGGGGGUUCCACUGUCGGGGUUAGCUCGUUUGGAUGUCAUUGUAGUGGAAGCAAUUGGACGGGUGGAGGCACCGAAACUGCCAGUGGUUGCUGCACGACGAUGAUGGAGGCGGGGCAACUACCGAAAUUGCCGUUAUCGAAGCGUACGAAGGAGGUGUCGUGGUGAUCAAUUUCGGUUUCAAUUUCCAGGGCCGAAUAACGGAUGAAUAGAGUUUGAGCUUUUUGGCUAUGUAAGACUGUUGUGGUGGUUGUUCUUUCUCUUGGAGAGGAAGAAGAAGCAGAGGUUGUGUGUGAGGGGUUUACGAAGAUGAAUGGAGAUGAAUUUGUAGAUUAGUGAUGAACGAGAAUGGUUCUUUGUGUUUCUUUAUGGAUUGAAUAAAAAUGGAGCUUAGCAUUGAGUGGUUGAAGGUGUGAUGGACAGUGCAGGGACGCAUCAUCAUUUGGGUUCAGUGUGGGUAAGAUACAAGCUUGUGUAUGGGGCUGGAAAUUAGUUUUGGUUCUUGGUGAUUGGUGCCUAUCUCUGUGACUUGGUGCCUUGCAGGUUGAGGGUGAUCUAGGCUAUAUAAACUACACUCUCUGGUUUUGUCCACUUCUAAACUUUCGUUAGAGUUUUCUACCUUGGUUUUGUAUAUCAAGUCUCUCUGUUUAUUCCAUGUCUGUUGAGAUAUAUUCUCAGUUGUGAACGACUUAAGUUAACUGGGUUAGUUUUCCUUUUUUUGGUUGUUGGCUCUUUUGGACACAGGGAAAAGGAACAGAGCACGGGAUAAUGGGGAUAAUGAUAAAGAUCGGGAAAGUUUUAUGUGACGGUAUCAUACACGAUUAUAGUAGGAAAAUAUUCAACAACAGUCAUAGCAGCAAUGUAACAAUAAUAUGUUCAAGAGUAAGCAACCAGUCUUACUAAGCAUUGAGUGCAAGGAGGCAUUACUUACAUCUUGAAAACUCGAUUGCUAAUGUCAACCUUGUGAUUCCAAUGGGUCUCUCCCUUUUCCCUGGCCAACGAGCUUCUCCCUUCCCCUUUCUGUGGAUCCUCCGACUCCAACGAGAUGAUUCUUUUUUAUGGUGAAGAGAGUUGUCUCGUCAUCUCCCUUCAGUGAGUCUCCACUUCUCGCUAUCAAAGUAUAUUCCCCUACAAAACCACCCGUCCUUUGCUUUUUCUUUGCUUUAUCGCAGAAAUCCCCAUAACAAAACGCCUCUGCCACCUCCCAAAACCUUGCCUGCAGAAAACGGUUUUUCUUGUCAUCUUGUACAGUCUGCGCCCUCUUUUUCUUUUCCUUUUUUUUUUUUUCGUUUUCCCUUUUUUCUUUUCUUUUUUCGUUUUUUUUAAAUUAAUUAUAUUAAUUAUAUUAAAUCAAAACUAAAAUUACAAGUAAGAAUACAAAUAAAAAAGGAAAAUUGAAAAUUAUAAAAGAAAGAGGAAAGUAAAACAAAAAUAAAUAAAAAAUAAAAAUAUAAUAAUAAUAGUAAAAGAAUAAAAUGAUAACAAGACAUGAAAUAAGAUGAAAUAAAGUAAAAAAAAAAAACAAAUGUUAUUUGUCAUCCGGACAAAAUUGGAUGUUGACAGAGUGGACUGUUGAUGAAAAUAGAAAAGCUCAGUAUGAUGUUAAAAUUAGAAAUAUAAUUGUCUCUGUAGUGACAAUUGAUGAAUUUUUCAGAUGUUAAAGAUAGAAAUAUAAUUGUCUCUGCAGUGACAAUUGAUGAAUUUUUCAGGAUAUCUCAAUGCAAAUCUGCGAAGGAAAAG